UGAAGACUAACUACUGCGAAAGCAUUUGCCAAGGAUGUUUUCAUUAAUCAGGAACGAAAGUUAGGGGAUCGAAGACGAUCAGAUACCGUCGUAGUCUUAACCAUAAACUAUGCCGACUAGGGAUCGGACGAUGUUACUUAUUGACUCGUUCGGCACCUUACGAGAAAUCAAAGUGCUUGGGCUCCAGGGGGAGUAUGGUCGCAAGGCUGAAACUUAAAGAAAUUGACGGAAGGGCACCACCAGGGGUGGAGCCUGCGGCUUAAUUUGACUCAACACGGGGAAACUCACCAGGUCCAGACACAAUGAGGAUUGACAGAUUGAGAGCUCUUUCUUGAUUUUGUGGGUGGUGGUGCAUGGCCGUUCUUAGUUGGUGGAGUGAUUUGUCUGCUUAAUUGCGAUAACGAACGAGACCUUAACCUGCUAAAUAGCCCGUAUUGCUUUGGCAGUACGCUGGCUUCUUAGAGGGACUAUCGGCUCAAGCCGAUGGAAGUUUGAGGCAAUAACAGGUCUGCGAUGCCCUUAGAUGUUCUGGGCCGCACGCGCG
rnacentral:rRNA from 1 species